AGGGCAGGUCAGGAGCCCCUUCCGUGGGGAGGCUGACUAUAGCCCCCAAGGCCCACACCGUCCACAACGCAGGUGGCAUUGUCCAGGGAUCCAACCUACAAGUAAAAGACAUCCAAAUGAGCAAUGGGAUUUAGAAACACAACCAUCUGGGAGCUCAGAGCAGGACUCAACAGACAGGUGGAAAGAAGGAGUGACUGGAUGUGGGAAUGAAUGGCAAGCCGCAGAGGAACUGGGCCAGGCUUCACCAUCAGGGUUUUCAAUCAGCUUUUCCUGCGCUCAGCCCUCGUUACAGCCAGAAAAUCUACUCUGUAAGACUCAAAUCCUUUCAAAUGUGCCGCAGUUGGUUCCUUGGCCCAGCACACAGAGUUCCAGUAUGUUCUGUGGCUUCAGCCGCUGCAGAAAACAGUGCUCUGCAUA